ensembl:lncRNA novel transcript, antisense to CARD14
GAGUCCCAUGGUAAACACCCCUGUCCCCGUGAACCCUGCCAGCACUGGGAGAAGCUCUUCUUAGGAUGUCCACUUUACAAACCUGACCCUGCACACCCCGCUCUGUGCCCUGCACCUCCAUCCUGAACUAUCUGGACACAGCAGGCUGGAGUGCAAUGGCACCAUCUCGGCUCACUGCCACCUCUGCCUCCCGGGUUCAGGCGAUUCUCCUGCCUCAGCCUCCCGAGUAUCUGGGAUUACAGUGCCUCCUGCCACCCUGCCAGCACCGAGCCCCUCUUCCAGCCCACCCCAGUGGGGUCCAGGCCCCUCCCUGGAGCCUCACCUUGCGGGUCACGGUGCACUGCUGAGUCAUGUCCUGGAUGAGGGCUAUGAGCUGCUGCUGAGCCCUGCAGAGACCAGCAGAGGCCCUGACCCAGCUGCCUCCUGCCAGGAGGAGGAAGCCGAGGCAGGCUGGGUGCCAUUUCCCUGUGGGCCUCUCUGGGGACGCACCGAGCUCGAGGCAGCUGCUCACCUGGAGUAGUUGGGGAUGGUGCCGUGCGCGGCAGCAGCAGAAGCCGUCCACCCUCCUGAGAAGCCCCACGGCCUCCUCCAGGGUCGUGUCCUCCAGGACUGCCUUGAACAAGGGCUCUGAGGCUUCGUAAUCAACCUGAGGGCAAGUCGAGAAGGUCAGUCUCUUUCCCCCGGGACUCUGAAUCCAGCCAGAAGACAGAAGGCGCUGAGGGCACUGAGGCGAGGCGCGGGCCAGCCCUGCCGUAGGACCACUGCCUGCACGCCUUGGUCAAAACAAAGCCACACACCAGA